rnacentral:rRNA from 1 species
GUCUGUGGCCAAACCACCCCUAACGUGCCAGAUGCCGUCUGAUCUCGGAAGCUAAGCAGGGUCGGGCCUGGUUAGUACUUGGAUGGGAGACCACUUAGGAAUACCAGGUGCUGUAGGCG